rnacentral:rRNA from 1 species
GACGAACGCUGGCGGCGUGCCUAAUACAUGCAAGUAGAACGCUGAAGAGAGGAGCUUGCUCUUCUUGGAUGAGUUGCGAACGGGUGAGUAACGCGUAGGUAACCUGCCUUGUAGCGGGGGAUAACUAUUGGAAACGAUAGCUAAUACCGCAUAACAAUGGAUGACACAUGUCAUUUAUUUGAAAGGGGCAAUUGCUCCACUACAAGAUGGACCUGCGUUGUAUUAGCUAGUAGGUGAGGUAAUGGCUCACCUAGGCGACGAUACAUAGCCGACCUGAGAGGGUGAUCGGCCACACUGGGACUGAGACACGGCCCAGACUCCUACGGGAGGCAGCAGUAGGGAAUCUUCGGCAAUGGGGGCAACCCUGACCGAGCAACGCCGCGUGAGUGAAGAAGGUUUUCGGAUCGUAAAGCUCUGUUGUAAGUCAAGAACGGGUGUGAGAGUGGAAAGUUCACACUGUGACGGUAGCUUACCAGAAAGGGACGGCUAACUACGCG